UGGGUCCUGGGGGUUAGGAGGAGGCCGGGGCAUGGGGAAGAGGCAGAGGUCUCCAGAGCCCGCCCUCUCCCCCUCGCAGCCGCCCGGUGGGGUCUCCCUACCGCCUAACUUAGGGGCCGAAGCCCAGAGCGUGAGCUCAUGGCCCCAAAACUGAAGGAGUUCAGCAGAGUAACUGCGGAAGGACAGUGAUGGAGAUCUGCAUUUGUGGACGUGAAAGCAUCGUAUGCAAAUUAAAAGGACUUCAAAACUAUAGAGAAAGAUCUACGUCGGCAAAAAUUCCUUUUCUUCUGAAUUAUACCUCAAGAAAUGUUCUCUUUUCUGGUUUCUCCAGCUAGAUGAUCCUAUCUUCUCUUUCUCAUCAAAGAAUUGCUCAAAAUUUCUCGUGUGGACUGGAGAAAUAAUAGAAGGAAUUACUCGAGAUGCACCAAACAAAACCAUGAAUCAUCUGUGGAUGAAUAUACUAAACGAUUCAAAAUAAAGUUGAAGAUGGCCAGCUGAGCAAAUAGUCUUAACUGAUGUAAUGCAUAUUUUAAAUGUUACUGAAAUUCAACUGAAUGUUUUUGGAGGAACAAUAUGUACUCAAGUCUUCCUCCAUAAGAAACACUGGGUGAAGGCAGAUAAUUGCGUUCAGCAGAACCCAGGGACGCAGCACAAUACACAGACACUAUCUACCAGCCAGCUCCGUUCACUGUGUCAUGAGCCACACCUGCCCACAUCUGGUAUUAAAACUGUCUGCUGGAUUUCAUCUCACUCUGCUACCUUGCAAUACCUCACCAGCUGCAACCCUUCCCAAGCCCAGUUCCACAAGCAAAUUUCAGGAAGAAAGUUCCCAAUAGGAAUCAAACCUCAAGGGAAAGAAGUCUAAAAGAAAAACAGCAACAACCUACUUUGAAUGGGAUCUAAAAGUUUGCUUCAGAAUAAUCCACCUUUAGAGAUUCACUGAGGAAAAUGUUAGAGAUAAAACUUGAGCUGAAGAAAAUUUCAAUUUGCUUCAGAGAAGAUGCUCAGAUUCCAAUACAAUAAUUUGGAUAACAAUUUAAACUGUUCUACAGGUAGACAUACUUGCCUAUUUUAAUAUAUAUUUUGAAUAACUUUGAUUUAAUAUGUUGAAGAUAAAGCUAUCUUUAAAUAUCAAGCUUUACAUUGUAAAGUUUAUUCUGACUUUUAUGUCAGAGUAACUCAAGACCCUAAAAAAAAUGGAGAAUUUUGGAAGAAGUCAUUCCACUAUGGAGCUCCUCUUUUAAGUCGAUGAAAGGCCUCACUCAAAAUAUUCAUUCUGACAGGAAUUCCAGCAGCAUUAUAAACACAUUCGCUGCUUUUUAUUUAGUCUUAAUUAAAAAAAAAUUAUUUUUUUAUUUAGCUUUUUAUUUAGUCUUAAUUAAAAAAAACAGCA